GAGUGCACUUUAGCCAUAGCAAGAGCAAGAUCAGAGAGAAAUAAGGACUUAUGACCAUUAGACCAGGAGACAGGAAGCGAUGGUUCUGGAAGGGGCUCUGUUACUAACUUUGGAAUUCAACUGUCCAGAUAGAAAGGUGGACAUGGAAAAAUUGGGCUUUGCAAAUGGUCACCCAAUUCUUGCCUUCCUGGUCUCCAGAUCACCCUUCCUAUACCGCCACUCUGGAGAAAGAAGUACAGAACGCUAACAAGCUAGAUACAGAGGACCUAACAUACAACUCAGAGUCCCUAGAAGAUGGAGAAAACACAGACAAUUGGCAGAGGAGAUGAGCAUGUGAUUAUUGUUACCACUUGUCUGGAAGCAACCAGAAUGGAGUGGGGAAGACUCAAGGAGGAGAUCUUCACAGGACUCACCUCUCAUCACAGCUCCCGUGUGGUUGUAAUCACCCCAGAGGGAAAAAUAAUUUCGGUUUUUUAUGGUUUAAUUAUUGGUGAUAGCAGCUGUUUUGAAGACACAAACACAGAAGCAAGUUCUAGAACAUACUCACAGUUUCCUUGGUCACAGUGUUGUCAGUGGUUCUAUAAAGGUCUUAUGAAUCUCUACUUAGUUGACCACAAGUAGUAAGCAAGAAACAAUCCUGUAAAGAGAAUGGAGGUCAGAAUAAAGAAGCCUUGAGGGUUUAAAUCGCUUCUUGAAAAGGUAAUAAUAUUUACUCUUUUAAAAAUUAUAAACAAUACAUGUUCCUUUUACAGAAAAAAAAGAAAAAAAUAAGGAAACAGGACAUAAAACUCAUCUGUUAUUCCACCAUCUAGAUACAACUACUGUUAACCCAGGAACACUUAAAGAGUGUUUCAUGAAU
rnacentral:lncRNA from 1 species